AUGGACGCCGCCGGCGCCGGAGACGGGCCGCCGCGGGAGGCGCCGGAGGAGAGGACGCCCCAGACCCCUGCGCCGCCAGCCGUGGCCGCCCCGGCCUCGGCCUCCGGGGGCGCCGCGGGCCCCUCUGGCUCCGGGGAGAAGCCGGUGAAGCGCAUGAUGAAGACCCCCUACCAGCUCGAUGUUCUCGAGCAGACGUAUUUAGCGGAGCAGUACCCCUCGGAAGCCAUGCGUGCCGAGCUGUCAGUGAAGAUAGGCCUGUCAGACAGGCAGCUGCAAAUGUGGUUCUGCCACAGGCGGCUCAAGGACCGCAAGCCGCCGGCCAAGAGGCAACGGCGGGACGAAGAGGGCCCAGCAACACCUGUGCCCGUACCGCCACAGGUGUUGCCGAUACAGGCAAUGCCGCUGGGGAGCACUGACAUUAUGAUGAGCGCCGGCAGUCCUUACGAUGAGCCGCUGCUGCCCCCUACUCACUCCCGUAGGGGAGCUGGACGGUCUUCGGCAGUGCCCAGGAUUUCUGCACCUGACAUUGGGAGGAGGUAUUAUGAGCCAUUGUCUGUUAUGCUGCCACCACCCGUGGCGCCGAUGCAGUUCAGGCAAGCUGAGCUCAGGGUGAUUACUUCUGUCGAGUCACAGCUUGGGGAACCGUUGAGGGAGGAUGGACCCGUCCUCGGUGUCGAUUUUGAUCCGCUUCCUCCAGGCGCCUUUGGUGCACCAAUCGUUCCGGAGCAGCAAAAGCAGCCUGUCCGAUCAUAUGACGCAAAGAUAUUUUCUAGGCAUGAUCCGAAUCUCUUAAAGGUGUCCUCAUUUUUGCCCAGCAUGGAGCACCCUUUUGUUCCGAAUUCGUUUGCUGGGAAGAGAAAAUCAAUGGUUGGUAAUCCACCACCUCAAGUUCACCCUCAUGGUGGAUCGAGGGCAGUUCAUGAGUAUCAAUUUCUUCCUGAGCAGCCAAGUGAUACAUACGAGAGAGCAAGUAGAUCUCAUUACUAUGACACUCCGGUUGAAGCUUCAAAUUCGAGGAUUCCAUCUCUCACUCCAGGACCGCACCUUCUCCAUGUAUCUGAGGAGAUGACACCUGGUUAUGCUUUUGAAGGCCAAGGUCUUCUGCCUCAAUCUGGCAGGCCUCAGGUGUUUUCUGCAGUAUCGACAGAUUACGAGAUGAAUCAAUCUAAUAGCAACAUUAAUUCUGUGCCAGUCGAUGGUCAAUUUGGUAGUUCUCAUGUUGCUGGCUUUGAAGACCCACUUAUAUCAUCGGAAACAAGGGCUUAUCAUGAUGAAGAUGCUUCUCGAGUGGAUAGGAAGCGAAAACAUAACGAGGAAGCAAAAAUUGCAAAGGAAGUCGAAGCUCAUGAAAAACGGAUUAGGAAGGAGCUUGAAAAACAAGACAUAAUGAGGAGAAAGAGAGAGGAACAAAUGCGCAAGGAAAUGGAGAGACAUGAUCGUGAAAGGAGAAAAGAAGAGGAGCGAUUGCUUCGUGAGAGGCAAAGAGAGGAAGAGAGAUUCCAAAGGGAGCAAAGGCGGGAACAUGAGCGCAUGGAGAAGUUUUUGCAGAAGCAAUCUAGACGAGCAGAGAAACAAAGACAAAAGGAGGAACUCAGAAAAGAGAAAGAGAUGGCGAGGCAGAAGGCUGCUAAUGAAAGGGCCACAGCACGAAGAAUUGCACGGGAGUAUAUGGAGCUUGUGGAAGAUGAGCGCUUGGAGCUAAUGGAAUUGGCUGCGCAAAGCAAAGGGUUACCCUCAAUGCUUUGUCUUGAUAGUGACACAUUGCAGCAGCUGGAUUCAUUCCGAGGCAUGUUGAGCCAUUUCCCCCCUGAAAUGGUGAGAUUGAAGGCGCCAUUGUCGAUAAAGCCUUGGACAGGAUCCGAGGAAAGUGUUGGAAAGCUUUUGAUGGUGUGGAAAUUCUUGAUUACUUUUGCUGAUGUCCUCGAGCUUUCUUCAGUUACACUUGAUGAGUUUAUUCAGUCUCUUCAUGAUUAUGAUUCAAGGUUGUUGGGGGAAUUGCAUGUUGCUCUUCUGAAAUCUAUCAUAAAGGAUAUCGAGGAUGUCGCCCGAACUCCGUCGGUUGCAUUGGGGGUAAAUCCAGGAGGUGGCCAUCCACAAAUUGUUGAAGGGGCAUAUUCUUGGGGAUUCAAUAUACGUAACUGGCAGCGCCACCUCAAUCUUCUUACCUGGCCUGAAAUUUUACGGCAGUUUGCUUUAUCUGCUGGUUUUGGACCUCAACUGAAGAAAAGGAAUGCUGAAGAUGUUUUUUAUCGUGAUGAAAAUGAGGGCCAGGAUGGUCAGAAUGUCAUAUCCGCUCUCCGAAAUGGUUCAGCAGCCGUGCGUGCUGCCGCUUUGAUGAAAGAGAGAGGUUACACCCAUCGUCGAUCUCGGCAUCGCCUCACUCCUGGGACGGUAAAAUUUGCUGCUUUCCAUGUGCUUUCUCUUGAAGAUAGCAGUGGUCUCACAAUAUUGGAAGUUGCAGAGAAAAUCCAGAAAUCUGGACUGAGAGAUCUUACCACAAGCAAGACACCUGAGGCAUCUAUAGCUGCUGCCUUGUCAAGGGAUACAAAACUUUUUGAGCGAACUGCUCCUUCAACAUAUUGUGUAAAGUCCCCUUACAGAAAAGAUCCAGCUGAUUCUGAGGCUGUGCUGUCAGCAGCACGUGAAAAAAUUAGGGCUUUUCAGAAUGUGCUGUCUGACUCUGAAGCUGAAAAAGAGGUGGAUGAUGUUGAUAGAGACGAGGAAUCUGAUUGUGAUGAUGACCCUGACGGUGAUGAUGUGAAUAUUGAGGUAGGAGAUGAGAAGGGCCCCCUUCUUGCUGUUAAAGCACAAGGUGUAAUACCAACUGCGACUAAAGUUGGUGACGUGAAAGGGGAUCCAGAUGAUUUGGAUGCUGCAUUAACUCAACCAAUUAGUUCUACUACAUCUCGAAAAGAUAUCGCCAUGCUUUCUUUAGGCGACUCCAGUGCAGUAGGUACUUCAAGUGUUUCACCUCUCAGAGCUUCAUCAGAUCAUCCUGAGGUAAUCACUGGUGAUCCUGAAGAUACACAGAUCGAUGAAAGCAACCAAGGUGAGUCUUGGGUACAGGGACUAGCAGAAGGUGACUAUUGUGAUCUUAGUGUCGAAGAACGUCUAAAUGCAUUGGUCGCGCUUGUUGGUGUUGCCACUGAAGGGAACUCUAUUCGAGCUGUUCUCGAGGAACGUUUGGAAGCAGCGAAUGCCAUAAAAAAACAAAUGUGGGCGGAGGCACAACUUGAUAAAAGACGUUCCAAAGAAGAGUUUGCUAGCAAAGUGCAGUAUAAUUCUUACACGAGUUUAAAGGCUGAUGUUAUUCCAGAAAAUAAUGCCACAGAGACUACUCCAACUCCAGUCCGUAAUCUUGAUAUAGACAAUGAUGAAAAUGCAGGGACUUCAAACAAUAAUGAGAUACUUAAUCAACAGAAUAAUGCUGGCAUUGUGUCUUAUGAAAGGAAUGGCACGGGGCAAGAAACCAGUGCAACACCAGAUAAUUUAUCUGCUCAGCAGUAUGCAUAUGCCGAUAAAACACGGUCUCAGUUGAAAUCAUAUAUUGGUCAUAGAGCAGAGCAGCUGUAUGUUUACAGAUUGCUUCCCCUGGGACAGGAUCGGAGACGAAACCGAUAUUGGCAGUUUUCAACUUCCACAUCACCAAAUGAUCCUGGUUCAGGAAGAAUCUUUUUUGAAUCGAGAGAGGGAUAUUGGAGGGUUAUUGACUCAGAGGAGGUGUUUGAUGCUCUGGUAGCUUCCCUUGAUACACGUGGCAGCCGGGAGGCACAACUGCACUCGAUGCUGCAAAGGGUUGAAUCAACCUUUAAGGAAGGUAUUAAGAGGAAACGGGACGCAGCCAUUGAACAAUCAGCUGGAAGGUACCUAAAGAAUGGAGCUACUGAUACAAUGCGUGCAAGUUAUCGUAGUGAGUUUGGAAGCCCAAGCAGUACUCAUUCCAGUGUCUCUGCUGAUAGUGCCACCACAUAUUCUGAUUCGUUCAAAAUAGAGCUUGGACGUAAUGAUGUGGAGAAGAUAUCUAUCUCAAAAAGGACGGAUGGUUUUUUAAAAUGGAUGUGGAGCGAAUGUUGCGAUCGCCAACUGACAUGUGCCAUGAAGUAUGGGAAGAAAAGAUGCUCUGCACUGAUGCAUUCUUGUAAUUACUGCUAUCAGAUUUACUUAGCAGAAGAAAGGCACUGCUCGUCUUGCCAUAAGACCUUCAAAUCCAUUUAUAAUUAUUCUGAGCACACGUCACAAUGUGACGAGAAGAGAAGAACUGACCCUAACUGGAAGAUGCAAAUUGCAGACUAUUCUGUUCCAAUUGGAAUGAGAUUGCUCAAGUUGCAGUUAGCUACCAUUGAGGCUUCGAUACCAUCAGAAGCACUUCAACCUUUUUGGAGUGAUGGAUAUCGGAAAUCUUGGGGCGUGAAGUUGCACUCUACCACAUCCAUCGAGGAAAUAUUCCAGAUGUUGACUCUGCUAGAAGGUGCAAUAAGACGAGACUACCUGUCUUCUGAUUUUGAAACAUCAAAUGAAUUGCUUAAUAACUCAAAGACAGAAGAUAUGCCUUCCCAGAAUCCUUCCUCACUACCUGGAACUUCUGUACUUCCAUGGGUUCCUGACACUACUGCUGCCAUCACAUUAAGAAUGUUAGACCUUGAUUAUGCUGUUUCAUACGUACAGAAUCAAAAGAAGGAGAGAGAUGGUGGAGAUUCCAUGAAGCUUGCAUCAAGGUAUACUGUUGUUAAGAAGGCACAAGAUCUAGAGCCGUUGGAACCAACUGGUUUUGACCUGUAUGAUGCAAGGGGGCCUCCCAGUAGUGGCCGCAGGGGUCGUGGAAGAGGAAGUAGAGGAGGUAGCAGGGGAGGAAGAGGUCGAAGUCGAGGUGGAAGGAUCCCAAGAGGUAUUAGCAGCUCAUCUAGGAUUGAAUUUAUGGAUGAGGAUGCUGCAUAUGAGAAAGCCCCAAGAAAGAACGCACGUCGAGGCCGUGGCCGUGGCCGUGGCCGUGGGCGCGGACGUCGAACAGUUAGGCCUCGGCAGCCAUCAUCUGAGGGCAGAGGCAGAUCGAUUCCAAAGGCUAAUCUGCUGGGAAGCUUCAGCAUGCUUAGCAAUGUGAAGCCUUCUGCUGUUGAGGAGUCUCCACGAAGCUCAGGUGCAGAAGAGUGGGGCUUGGAGAGCAGAAGACCGUACAUCCAAGGUGAUGGUGACGAGAACAGCUCUGAAUCCGAAUCAGAUCAAUCAGAAGACAACGGGGAAAACGGCCAGCCCAUGGAUGAGGAGUAUGAGGAGCAGGUUCCAGAUUACUCGAGAGCCUAUUCUGGUGGGUUGAGACCCCAUGCCCAUGUCAUGUUGGAUGAUGAGACCGAGGAUGAUGAUGAAGACGCUGAAGGGGACGGAGAGGGCGACGAGGAAGAAUACGACGUGAACCAUGCUUCGGCUGAUGUUGAUGAUGAGAUGGACGAGGAUGAUGAUGAUAUAGGUAAUGAUGGGGAUGAUGGUGGUGAUGGAGUUGAGGUGAAUGCAGAUGAAGAUGAAGGCGCGACCUCAUACUCGUCAGAGUACAGUGAAUAA
rnacentral:rRNA from 1 species